CGAUUUUAGAUUUAAAGGCAUAGAUAAAUAAAAUUUCCACGUUGAACGAUGAGGUUAGGAAAUCACGUUAGCAACUUGGAGGUUUCUCCUGUUGGAGUUGAUCUCAUAGGCUACAUGGUUUCCAUGAUUUUGGCACAAAGACUAUGGAAUACAAAUUUUGGCAUACUUUUACGAUUUUGAUUUCCAUGAUUUUGGCAAACUUUUACAAUAAGAAUCUUUGUAUGGUUCCCCAGAUUUUGUUCAAUUGAGUUUGGAUUUGCUUGAGUUCACGCUUGGUUUAACAAUAAGUUUACCGAGCAAAGAAAAAAGUUUUUUUUUGAUAACAUUCUUUGUUGAUCGGAUGUCUUUUUUUACAGUUGAAAAGUUAAGCUAGACCUUCGCAUAUGCCUUCAUUACCAUUCAAGUACACUUGCCGUAGGUUUCGGCGAAGGUGUUAUUUACCAUGGGAUAUAUAUCAAACUAAUUGCAGUACUAUGGGGAGUCUAGAGUGUUAUCAUGACGCGGUUUCACCAUAAAGUGUUUGAUCGUGGAAUUUUGUGGUAUAUAUAUAUGUGAAGUACAUGCCUAUCGACGGAUACUACAAAUGGAAAUUCCAAGCUCUUUGCCAGAAGAAGCAUCAAAAAGAUUGCAGGGAGCUUUGCGAGUUCGAUCUCCAGCUGCGAGGGGAACCCGUUCGAUUGAAGUCGCAUUCGAGGUUAGUGCCCAUGGUAUUUUGAAUGUAAGGGCUGAUACAAUGCAUAUGGAUAGUCGGAGGUGAUAGUUCAGGUCAUGCUGUGUUGCGAAUAUGGUCGUCCUGUAGAUGAAAAAAUCUUUAGUAAAAAGUUAUAGAUUGAGUGAAACAGAGAUGUGGUAUCUGAGUUCUCUGGAGAUCAUUUUUUUUACGAUGUCGGGAAAAAGUUCAUUAGCUACGGGUCAACUCCCAAGUAACAAACUGGAUUUGACGGUUGAGCUCGAUCAAAACAAAAAUUACACGGGUAUUUUCUUGCUGUAAAAUCAUUCCCUUUAACAUAAUUUUAAGAUAUGUGUCAUUACUGCAGCACUGAUAUUAUCUAUGGAAUGAUAGGCUGCAUUUAUGAUCUAUCUCAUAUCUUCUAAGUUCUGAUGCUAUUAGUGUGAAAUCAUGUUUAACCA